UCGAAAUAGCAUGACGAGUUGUCGCUGGCCUUCUGGCCGUGCACGCUCCGUCCUUCUCCAUUUCUCCAUCUAUUUGUGCACCUCUUCCGUAGACCCUUUCUGGGGGGUGGGGACUUCCUCAGAUCAUUAGGACUGCUUUGCAACAUCGGUUUGUGGGCUUUCCUUGUUUCUACGUUCAUACAUACACCAGUGUAACGAUUUGGAACGGAAAGAAAUUUGAUGCAUAUAAUA
rnacentral:misc_RNA from 1 species